CCCCAUGGUCCUUACGGAGUUCCCAGCAUCCACUAGGACGUCAGAGAAAGGAACUGUUGUUAAUUGGACACUCAGUUGAAAACACAGGGGAAUUAUAAGAUGAAUGGAAACCGUUGUGCAGAUGAAACCAGGAUGGUGUGGAAGAAUAUACAGGAGAAAAGCAAACAAGGAGACAGAAGAUUUUAAUCCAUUCAGCUAUUCAAAUUCAUUCAGUUAAGAAGCAUAUCCUAUCUCCCAACAUAGUAGUAUCCUGCUCAAACAAGUCACAGGAUGCUCCUGCCCCUAUGGCCCCUCCUGGCUCAGUACUGCUUCAAGUCCAUGCUGCGACGCCUUAGUUCCUACAACAAUGUCCUGGUCAACAAUUUGCGCCAUCUGCACUGGAGCUGGUACCGGAGCCUUCAUCAAUGACUGGAAUGCCAACUAAC